AUUGAACGCUGGCGGCAGGCCUAACACAUGCAAGUCGAGCGGAUGAAGGGAGCUUGCUCCUGGAUUCAGCGGCGGACGGGUGAGUAAUGCCUAGGAAUCUGCCUGGUAGUGGGGGAUAACGUCCGGAAACGGGCGCUAAUACCGCAUACGUCCUGAGGGAGAAAGUGGGGGAUCUUCGGACCUCACGCUAUCAGAUGAGCCUAGGUCGGAUUAGCUAGUUGGUGGGGUAAAGGCCUACCAAGGCGACGAUCCGUAACUGGUCUGAGAGGAUGAUCAGUCACACUGGAACGGAGACACGGUCCAGACUCCUACGGGAGGCAGCAGUGGGGAAUAUUGGACAAUGGGCGGAAGCCUGAUCCAGCCAUGCCACGUGUGCGAAGAAGGUCUUCGGAUUGUAAAGCACUUUAAGUUGGGGGGAAGGGCAGUAAGUUAAUACCUUGCUGUUUUGACGUUACCAACAGAAUAAGCACCGGCUAACUUCGUG
rnacentral:rRNA from 1 species